rnacentral:rRNA from 1 species
UACGUAGGGCGCAAGCGUUAUCCGGAAUUAUUGGGCGUAAAGAGCUCGUAGGCGGUUUGUCGCGUCUGCCGUGAAAGUCCGGGGCUCAACUCCGGAUCUGCGGUGGGUACGGGCAGACUAGAGUGAUGUAGGGGAGACUGGAAUUCCUGGUGUAGCGGUGAAAUGCGUAGAGAUCCGGAAGAACACCUGAGGCGAAGGCGGCUUGCUGGGCAUGAUCUGACGCUGAGGCGCGAAAGCGUGGGGAGCAAACAGG